rnacentral:rRNA from 1 species
UACAGAGGGGGCAAGCGUUGUUCGGAAUUACUGGGCGUAAAGGGCGCGUAGGCGGCUCGCCAAGUCAGGGGUGAAAUACUUCAGCUUAACUGGAGAAGUGCCCUUGAUACUGGCGGGCUCGAGGGAGGUAGGGGUCUGUGGAACUUCUGGUGGAGCGGUGAAAUGCGUUGAUAUCAGAAGGAACGCCGGUGGCGAAAGCGACGGACUGGACCUCUUCUGACGCUGAGGCGCGAAAGCUAGGGGAGCAAACGGG